UACGAAGGGGGCGAGCGUUGUUCGGAAUUACUGGGCGUAAAGCGCACGUAGUCGGCUUUGCAAGUCGGGUGUGAAAUCCCCGGGCUCAACCUGGGAACUGCAUCCGAGACUGCAUUGCUAGAGUAUGGGAGAGGGAAGCGGAAUUUCUGGUGUAGCAGUGAAAUGCGUAGAUAUCAGAAGGAACAUCAGUGGCGAAGGCGGCUUCCUGGACCAAUACUGACGAUCAGGUGCGAAAGCGUGGGGAGCAAACAGG
rnacentral:rRNA from 1 species